rnacentral:rRNA from 1 species
AAUAGAUACCCAGGUAGUCCACGCCGUAAACGAUGAGUGCUAAGUGUUAGGGGGGUUUCCGCCCCUUAGUGCUGCAGCUAACGCAUUAAGCACUCCGCCUGGGGAGUACGGUCGCAAGACUGAAACUCAAAGGAAUUGACGGGGGCCCGCACAAGCGGUGGAGCAUGUGGUUUAAUUCGAAGCAACGCGAAGAACCUUACCAGGUCUUGACAUCCCAUUGACCGCUAUGGAGACAUAGCUUUCCCUUCGGGGACAGUGGUGACAGGUGGUGCAUGGUUGUCGUCAGCUCGUGUCGUGAGAUGUUGGGUUAAGUCCCGCAACGAGCGCAACCCUUGUUCUUAGUUGCCAUCAUUUAGUUGGGCACUCUAAGGAGACUGCCGGUGACAAACCGGAGGAAGGUGGGGAUGACGUCAAAUCAUCAUGCCCCUUAUGACCUGGGCUACACACGUGCUACAAUGGACGGUACAAACGGUUGCCAACCCGCGAGGGGGAGCUAAUCCGAUAAAACCGUUCUCAGUUCGGAUUGUAGGCUGCAACUCGCCUAC